CCAGGUAGAUAGGCCGGGCGUGUAAGCGCAGCAAUGCGUUUAGCGGACCGGUACUAAUCGGUCGAGGGCUUGACCUGA
rnacentral:rRNA from 1 species